GCGGGCAUGGUGUAAAGGUAGCGCAUCGGCCUUCCAAGCCGAUAGUGCGAGUUCGAUUCUCGCUGCUCGCU
rnacentral:tRNA from 1 species